UGCCUACGGGUGGCAGCAGUGGGGAAUCUUGGACAAUGGGGGCAACCCUGAUCCAGCCAUGCCGCGUGGACGAUGAAGGUCUUCGGAUUGUAAAGUCCUUUUGGCGGGGACGAUAAUGACGGUACCCGCAGAAUAAGCCCCGGCUAACUUCGUGCCAGCAGCCGCGGUAAUACGAAGGGGGCUAGCGUUGUUCGGAAUUACUGGGCGUAAAGCGCGCGCAGGCGGUCUGUUAAGUUAGGGGUGAAAUCCCUGGGCUCAACCCAGGAAUUGCCUUUAAGACUGGCAGGCUUGAGUGCGGGAGAGGUGAGUGGAAUUCCCAGUGUAGAGGUGAAAUUCGUAGAUAUUGGGAAGAACACCGGUGGCGAAGGCGGCUCACUGGCCCGUAACUGACGCUGAGGCGCGAAAGCGUGGGGAGCAAACAGGAUUAGAUACCCUGGUAGUC
rnacentral:rRNA from 1 species